rnacentral:rRNA from 1 species
GUGAGGAAUAUUGGUCAAUGGGCGGGAGCCUGAACCAGCCAAGUCGCGUGAAGGAAGAAGGAUCUAUGGUUCGUAAACUUCUUUUGCAGGGGAAUAAAGUGCAGGACGUGUCCUGUUUUGUAUGUACCCUGAGAAUAAGGAUCGGCUAACUCCGUGCCAGCAGCCGCGGUAAUACGGAGGAUCCGAGCGUUAUCCGGAUUUAUUGGGUUUAAAGGGUGCGUAGGUGGUUUGAUAAGUCAGCGGUGAAAGUUUGCAGCUUAACUGUAAAAAUGCCGUUGAAACUGUCGGACUUGAGUGUAAAUGAGGUAGGCGGAAUGCGUGGUGUAGCGGUGAAAUGCAUAGAUAUCACGCAGAACUCCGAUUGCGAAGGCAGCUUACUAAGCUACAACUGACACUGAAGCACGAAAGCGUGGGGAGCGAACAGGAUUAGAUACCCCGGUAGUCC